GCAUAGCCGAGUUGAGAGACUGAUCGGCCACAUUGGGACUGAGACACGGCCCAAACUCCUACGGGAGGCAGCAGUAGGGAAUUUUUCCACAAUGGACGCAAGUCUGAUGGAGCAACGCCGCGUGAGUGAAGAAGGUUUUCGGAUCGUAAAGCUCUGUUGUUGGUGAAGAAGGAUAGAGGUAGUAACUGGCCUUUAUUUGACGGUAAUCAACCAGAAAGUCACGGGCUAACUACGUGCCAGCAGCCGCGGUAAAAU
rnacentral:rRNA from 1 species